rnacentral:lncRNA from 1 species
GAGAGAGAGAGAGGUUGUCGACGGAUGGCGAGGAAGGUAAAGAGAAAGAUGAGCGAAUGAGGGAAACAACAACCAGAUCAACAUUGUUGCUGGGAGUAAGAGGUAAGAUCAUUUCAGCCCUUUUUUAUUCGAAUUUGGGUUUAAAGUGCAUGUUGAUUCAUUUAAAUUGCAUGAGGAAGAUUUAGAAUGGAAAUCUGGAAAGUAGAGUAAGGUAUAGCAUCAUAUGAAUUUACAAAUGGACGUACAUACAUGUGU